rnacentral:rRNA from 1 species
UACGAAGGGGGCUAGCGUUGCUCGGAAUUACUGGGCGUAAAGCGCACGUAGGCGGAUUGUUAAGUCGGGGGUGAAAUCCUGGAGCUCAACUCCAGAACUGCCUUCGAUACUGGCGAUCUCGAGUUCGGGAGAGGUGAGUGGAACUGCGAGUGUAGAGGUGAAAUUCGUAGAUAUUCGCAAGAACACCAGUGGCGAAGGCGGCUCACUGGCCCGGUACUGACGCUGAGGUGCGAAAGCGUGGGGAGCAAACAGGAU